UGGAAGUAAAAAGUCGUAACAAGGUCUCCGUUGGUGAACCAGCGGAGGGAUCAUUACCGAGUUUACAACUCCCAAACCCAAUGUGAACGUUAYCAAACUGUUGCCUCGGCGGGAUCUCUGCCCCGGGUGCGUCGCAGCCCCGGACCAAGGCGCCCGCCGGAGGACCAACCUAAAACUCUUAUUGUAUACCCCCUCGCGGGUUUUUUUAUAAUCUGAGCCUUCUCGGCGCCUCUCGUAGGCGUUUCGAAAAUGAAUCAAAACUUUCAACAACGGAUCUCUUGGUUCUGGCAUCGAUGAAGAACGCAGCGAAAUGCGAUAAGUAAUGUGAAUUGCAGAAUUCAGUGAAUCAUCGAAUCUUUGAACGCACAUUGCGCCCGCCAGUAUUCUGGCGGGCAUGCCUGUCCGAGCGUCAUUUCAACCCUCGAACCCCUCCGGGGGGUCGGCGUUGGGGAUCGGCCCUCCCUUAGCGGGUGGCCGUCUCCGAAAUACAGUGGCGGUCUCGCCGCAGCCUCUCCUGCGCAGUAGUUUGCACACUCGCAUCGGGAGCGCGGCGCGUCCACAGCCGUUAAACACCCAACUUCUGAAAUGUUGACCUCGGAUCAGGUAGGAAUACCCGCUGAACUUAAGCAUAUCAAUAAGCGGAGG
rnacentral:rRNA from 2 species